AAUGUCCAAACUCUUCACCAUCUUACCUACUCAUCCGUCCAAAAGCUCCUCAACUUUUUUUGUGGUUUAGUCAAAGUCCAAAAGGUAGCUGGAGAUGGAUUGGUCACGACUGACGAGUGCUCAACAGCCAUAUUCGGUUUGGUAUCAAUAACUUUGAUGAUGAUGUCCAAAAGAAACUAUGAUUUAGAUAUGGAGUUUACGCCACUUUCAUUUUAAACAAAAAUACAAAUUUUAAAAGACAAUUCCCUCUCUUGCAAAUAAAAGUUGUUUACAAUUAUAGUAAGCAUAAUGUCGCUCCAAAAGAGAAAUAUAGUUUUGGUCCUGUCUCGUCCA